rnacentral:rRNA from 1 species
AGAUUGAACGCUGGCGGAAUGCUUUACACAUGCAAGUCGAACGGCAGCACGGGGGCAACCCUGGUGGCGAGUGGCGAACGGGUGAGUAAUACAUCGGAACGUGCCCAAUCGUGGGGGAUAACGCAGCGAAAGCUGUGCUAAUACCGCAUAAGAUCUACGGAUGAAAGCAGGGGAUCGCAAGACCUUGCGCGAAGUGGAGCGGCCGAUGGCAGAUUAGGUAGUUGGUGAGGUAAAGGCUCACCAAGCCUUCGAUCUGUAGCUGGUCUGAGAGGACGACCAGCCACACUGGGACUGAGACACGGCCCAGACUCCGUACGGGAGCAGCAGUGGGGAACUUUGGACAAGUGGGCGAAAGCCUGA